AAAACUAGCCAGUCCCAUGAGUAUGAAACCCAUUUGAGCGAGGGUAGUACUAGGUUGGGUGACCUCCUGGGAAGUCCUCGUGAAAGGGUUUC
rnacentral:rRNA from 1 species